UACGUAGGCAGCGAGCGUUGUUCGGAAUUACUGGGCGUAAAGAGUGUGUAGGCGGUGCUCUAAGUUCGGUGUGAAAUCUCCCGGCUUAACUGGGAGGGUGCGCCGGAAACUGGAGUGCUCGAGCGUGGGAGAGGGAAGCGGAAUUCCUGGUGUAGCGGUGAAAUGCGUAGAUAUCAGGAGGAACACCUGCGGUGUAGACGGCUUUCUGGACCAUUGCUGACGCUGAGACACGAAAGCGUGGGUAGCAAACAGG
rnacentral:rRNA from 1 species